UUUUUUUUUUUUUUUUCAUUUUCAACUUCUCAUGUUCUGAAAGAUAGACCUGAAUUAUAAGUACUGUUUUUAUCAGUCUGGCAGGUCAUUUUUAGAGAGAAGGAGGAAGUUAGUCCAUACUGCAUUGCGUACAUUUAAUUGAAAUGGUAAGUACUGAUGCACUAAAAACUUGUCCCUUUUUCUGAUAUAUCGUGUUCUGAGCAGGGCAAUCUUCUAUUUAUUUUUCUGUGAGAAAGGGAGUGGUUUUGCUUUCAGUGGAAUUUAGCUCUCAUUCCCAGUGAAAGCCAGUUCAGCUGUGCAGGUAUGUAUGGACACAGAAGGACCAGUAGUUACAGACCCAGACAAGGUCCAAGGAGUAGCAACCUUGCUGCUUUAGAUUAACUGUAAUGAUCUAGCAAAAAUAAAUAAACAGAAAAUUUUUGUGGUCAUCAAAAUUAUGCCAAUAGCAGCUUGAGUGAUGAAACCUAAGAAAUGCAUUGGAAUUAAUUAGUUUUUGUGCUACUGUGAAAGAUGUGAAAAAACAUCAGUAAAGAGCUACCUAGUUCAUGUUUUGUGAGUGGGUACAAAGCAGUUUGGAUAGUGGGAGUAAAGCAGUCUUAUCUUAGGGGAGUCCAGUUCCAGUAGUAGUUUAUUGCAGAAAAGGAAGAGUCAAGGGAAGAGAAAUUGUAUUACUUUUUAAAUCCUCGAACUUUGACCCUGUACUUUUUCACUACAGUAUUAUCCCAGAAAAUCAAAAGGUGGGAUCUUUAGAAGUUUUUUUGUGAAGGAUCAUAUUUUUGAAGAAAGGUAGAAUUGAAAAAGAUGAAGAAAAUUAAGUACAUUAAAAAGUUCUCACUUGUUAAGUUGCUUUGCAAACAGUUUUGGAAGAGAGCAGUGAGGUUCAAGUUCAGACUAGCUUCAAGCUGCUUAGGUGCUGCAGUGUUUGAUUUCUCAUCUGCUGCAGGACAGAUGCCCACGACACAGAAUGAGUCAGAGCUUCAGCUGCAAAGGAGUAUGUAAGAUCUUGGUCCUGUGAAAUGAAGAAAAAAGUUUAACACUCUGUAUGUUGAAUGGUUGCCUGAUCACUUUCAUUUAUGAGUGAUGACUAACGCCAUUGUGUUAGAGAACAGCAUUUCAGACUUUUGCAGGCUUGUGAUGGCAGGCUGCUGAAGGCUCCCUUCUCGCUGUAUGCCAAACCAGAGGGAAGGACAUUGGUCAGAAGCAUGGCUAAUAGUCCUGGCCAAAGUGCCCUGUCCCUCCACAGGACCUGACAGCCCUAUCUCUGCUUGGCACUUGAUGAAGAGCUUCCUCCUGACCUGCUGCCUGGGGGUGCAAUCUCAUGUCUCCCUGCAGAUCUGGGGUGAUGUGCUUUCGGGUUGCACUUAAAUUUGUGUCUUGGGCACUGUUACUGGGGGUGUGAGUCACUCCAUGCUCAGAGGAAGGGGAUGUGCCCCCAGGCUGGAGGAGUUCCCGGUUAAAGAGGAGUACAAGUCUCUGCAAGUGAGCUCAGUGAACGGAGGAUGCAGGAGAAGGGCGUGCAGGGUUGGCAGGUGUGUGUGUUGCAGUUUCGAAGUGCAGGUAAACUCUCAGGCUUUCAGAGGGUAGAUCAAGGUGGUGACUGGUAGUGCGUUACUUUCCCAGCUGUAACUUGCUCUGAGUACUGGCCUCAGUAACUACAUAUCCCUCUCUCUGAGCUGGCAGGGAGCGACUUGCUCUUUAAUCUCAAUGUAGCAAAAUACACAAGAGAAGUUAGAAACACACUCUAAUUUCCCACCUCACAUUCUUGUGCAGAUAUGCUUUUAAUUAUGUUGGGCUUUUUUUGAAAACAUUUAGCUGCCCCUGAGUGACCCAGGGAUUAAUUUUUCUAACCUGAAUCAAUACUAACUAUAUGGAAAGUACUACUGUCCUGCUGAGCUGUGUCAGCUGUCCAGCAGUCUGGGCUUCAUCUGGCUGAACAUAGAAUUCACGAGAUGGCAGCAUAGCAUGAGCCAGGCACACCAGCAUCCCCUCUGUCCCUUGUGGAGAAAGUUGGUACCCACCAGUGUUUUGUUCAUUCUUUUGAGGCAUCUUUUUUGAGUGGGGUGUGCUACCUUGCUGAGAUGCUGGUUGCUUUUCCCUGAUGAGAGAUGGGAGCAUUCCCCAGGACAAGCCUUAAUGUGGGUUGGAUUUAAUUGAGAGUAGUUAAUCUCUGAUUAAAAACUGUUCAGUUCCUUUGUAUUGGUUUGAACAUACUUCAUAGAAUCGUUUGGGUCUGAAGGGACCUGAAAGAUCAUCUUGUUCCAGUACUUCAGUGUGGGCAGGGACACCUUCCACUAGACCAGGGCCUCAUCCAUCCUGGUCUCAAAUAUUCCAAGGAUGGGUUAUCCACGUCUUUGCAUUUUCUUGCAGUGCCUCACCACCCACACAGUCAAGGAUUUCCUUGUAAUGUCUAAUCUAAAUCUACUCUCUAUUUAAAUGGUUUUAAAUGGAGAAUGAAUAGGUGGAUAUUUUUUUAUACAGUCCGGGGAUGAGCACAUGCCUGAAAGUUUUGCUUCUUUACUGGAUGACCUCAUUUGUAUGAGCGCAGCAGUUCCCAAAAUACACUGCAGUGUAGAAGUACCUCAGCUUGCUUUAAAUGGUGUGUUGAGAACUAGCUGCUGUCGAACAAUGGCAGCGGCGUGGAGCUCAGCACCAGCUCAUUUUCCCUGCUGCUUAUGUGCACCAAACAUCUUGGGAAAUAGUGUAGACAUACUUGUAGCACUUAUGGAAGAAGAGUGUCAUACAUAAAAUUGCUCUGAUUAGCUGUCUUUGGGAGUGGUGGUGAUUCUCCCCCUGAAUGUUUACACCUGGUAUGUGCUUGGGCAUGGAAGAGUUCAUUUCAGAAAUUAGGAUUAAUGGGUUGAAUGUCUUAAAUUUAUAUAAACACUAUAUUCAGUGUAUUCAACCAUUUCAGUUAUUUUCCGUUAUUUCCCCUUUUUCAGUCAAUUUAUUUCAUUUCCCUAUGGGUUUAGUCUAAUACCCAUUUCUGAAAUAUAAAUAUUAGUUUCCCUUUUAGGCUGUCCUAAGAGGCCUGAUUUCAUAUGAAAGGUUUGUUAUAAACAUGGGUAGGAUGGAAAACCAUUCUCUUCAUGGUGCACACUGCAUUGCUUUAGGAUAACUUGAACUUCUGCAGUUCAAGAAACAAGAAUUUAUUUAUAUUGAUUUAAUGAAAAGCUUAGGGGGUUACAUUUGCAUAUUUAUGGUAGUUAGCAUUUCAGUUAUUUGUAUUAGCAAUUGCUUCUCUUCCAGUAUUAAUAAGGCAGGUGCUUUUGUAUAAAUAAAAAAUGAAAAAAAGAAAAGAAAAAAAGUAAAGAGAUUAGUGCCACAGGUUAAUUUUUGUAUAAAGGUAAUGACUUCCAGCCACUGCAGUAACACUCAAUAUUCCCCUAGUGAUACCUCGAGUCAAGAAAGAAAUUAACUUCUGUAUAUUAAGUUAGCAGUGGCAAACAAAAUUGAAGAUGAAAAGAAAAUGAAGGGGCAAGGAAAAAGGCUCAGUUCCUCAACACUGCCACAAGGAACACUCAACUCUAACUUCAACAUUUGGUUACUUCCUUUAAUGCCCAACAGAAGUGAAAAAUGCUAUGGUAGCACUGGGCCAUAUGCAAAUCCCUUUUAAACUUGUGGGACUUCGAUUAGGCCUAUCUUUUAUUAGUUUUUGUUUGUUUUUGUUUGGUGGGGGUUUUUUUUUUUUUUUUUGUUGUUUUUCUUUUGGGUUUUUUGGCUUUUUUUAUUUCUUCCAGAAACAAAGAGGCAAGAUAGGCCUGCUGAAGGGGCGUGUUACAAAACAUCUGGCUCUUCCCUGCAUAUGAAGAUCUGCUUUACUUAAUGCCUCGUUUUGUUUUAAUGGAGUUUCAGUGGGUGAUGUAGAUUAAAGCUACUCCUGUGUGGAACUACCUGAAGUCUUUUGCAUUAAUGCAGUGUCAAGUGCUCACUUAGGAGGAAAGUCUGCAGGUGUUUCAUUUUGCACCUGUGUCCCUGUGGUGUGUUUGUGUAGCCAGAGGAAGCCAAAAGAAGAUGAGGAUUGGAUAUGUUAUCCCAGCAAUGCCUUGGAGCUUUCCUUCCAUGGAGCUAGAGUGGACUUGAGGAAGCUGUCUGAUCUCCAGUAAUGUAAUGACUGUUUUCCCUUCUUUGGAAACAGAGCAGCUCUGUUAGGACAUAGGAAGGAAGCCAAAAAGUCAAAUUGGCUGAGAACAAAUAAUGAAAUUAGCUAGUGCUGCUUCCCUGACAGAACUAAUAAAUGAGGCAGAAAAUAUAACAAAAUCCACAAAUGAAGAUGUGGUUGUCUAUGCUUUUUUAAGACACUGUGUGUGUAAUAUAUAUAUAUAAAUAUAUAGAUAUAUAUAUAGAUAUAUAUAUACAUUUCUAUUUCUCUAUAUAUAAAAAUGUAUUUUAUUUUUUUAAAUCUCGACAGUGUCAUUUAAAAACAAUCAUGCUUUUGGAGUUUCUGGUUCUUGCCAUUGCAAAUUCUUUUCCUAAAUUGUAAGAGACGGGCAAAAAUUUAAGGAGCUUUGCAUUGCUCUUUAAAUGGGCAAAAUCUUGGAAAGAAUUAAUUGCUCUUGUAAUGCAGUUAUUUCUAUUUUGGUCAUGUUCAAAAACCACUCUGACCAGGAAUACUGAAUUAGAGCUGGCUGUGGGUGUUAAUCUCCACAGAUAGCUUGGAUUGUGUUGAAGAAAGGAAAGAAGGCUUAAGGGUGGAAGGUCCUGUCUGUGUUUGUGUUUCCUGGAGAGGAGCUGUCCUGCGCCCAGCUGGCUGAAGAGGACCUGGCAUGACGAGUUAAGCAAGGUGCGUGUCCUUGGCAGGAGCAUCUUGCUAAACAAAAACCUGUUGCCGCUUGUGUACUGUGGCUUAGCAAAACAAAACAGAACUGCCCAGGGGAGUGGAUGCUUCUCACACAGCUAACCACCAAGCAUGAAAGUCCUUCUGUAUAAUGUGAGGCAGCCAAAAACUGGUGGCUGCCAUUGCCCAUGCAGGGACUGAGGGCAGAAGGUGCAAGAGAAAGCAGAUGUUGCAUGCACUUGUGUUUCUUCAGGUCAAAACUUAAAAAUCUGUUGUUGCUGAGCACGUGGUGUACUUCAUGUGAAUUGUGCUACUAUAUGCUUGGCCCUCGGGACCGAUUGCUAUGUAAAUGCAAAUUAUUUAAUUAACAUUAUUGUUUCCGUUUGCCAUAAUAUGAUUUUUAUGAGCAUUUCUCGAUUAAAGUUCACUUUAGAAACAUAGCAAUUGCUUCCAAAUUGCUUGGCUGUGCACUGCAUUUUAAACCUCCUUAAUGCAGUAACGAAUCCUUAUCAUUCCUUAAUCAUCAGAUGAGCAGCCAAAAGAAAAGAUAUAACCAAGAUGGGUAA
ensembl:lncRNA